UAGGGAAUUUUCGGCAAUGGGGGAAACCCUGACCGAGCAACGCCGCGUGAGUGAUGACGGCCUUCGGGUUGUAAAGCUCUGUUGUAAGGGAAGAACGGUAGAUAGAGAAUAUCUAAGUGACGGUACCUUACCAGAAAGCCACGGCUAACUACGUGCCAGCAGCCGCGGUAAUACGUAGGUGGCGAGCGUUAUCCGGAAUUAUUGGGCGUAAAGGGUGCGUAGGCGGCCUGUUAAGUAAGUGGUUAAAUUGUUGGGCUCAACCCAAUCCAGCCACUUAAACUGGCAGGCUAGAGUAUUGGAGAGGCAAGUGGAAUUCCAUGUGUAGCGGUAAAAUGCGUAGAUAUAUGGAGGAACACCAGUGGCGAAGGCGGCUUGCUAGCCAAAGACUGACGCUCAUGCACGAAAGCGUGGGGAGCAAAUAGGAUUAGAUACCCUAGUAGUCCACGCCGUAAACGAUGAAUACUAAGUAUUGGGGAAACUCAGUGCUGCAGCUAACGCAAUAAGUAUUCCGCCUGUGGAGUAUGCACGCAAGUGUG
rnacentral:rRNA from 1 species